UAAACACCUUGUGUGCGGGCGAUUUCUCAUAACCUGCUUCAUCUAAAGAAACACUAUCUUCAGCUUUUUCCUCUCAGUUACUCAAGUUUCCUGUGUUCUUUGCCAGGAAUCUUUGCCCCAGGUCGCAGAGAGGUUUUUCACUUGCCUUUCAGUGUUUCGAGGACGCCCGCUAUAUAGAAACUUUUCCUCUCAAGAGAGUUCCAGUUUGCCUGUAAGAGAGCAGUUCUUCAGGCAACUUCUAGAAAAACUGAUGCAGUUUCACGAGAAAGUCUACUGUGCUCUUUGUGGAGCCUGGCCGCACGCUGGGAACCUGGGCUGCCUCUUUUCGAGACCGCUGGACCUAUACAAAUAUGCAACCAUAAUAAAUUAGAAGAGCUGGAAAAAAGAAAAAAAAGUAUCCUGUUUCUCUUUAUGGCAUGGAAGAAGAUGGGUAAGCCAGCAUAUUUUUUUAUUCUUUAAAAUGGAAAUAAAAAUAGUAAAAAUAGACUAUAACCCUGCUUUUCAACAGUUUAACUUGACUUUAAAGACACACAACACCCCUUAUAUGGGUUAGCUGACUUCCAAAGACAAUGUGAAACCUAUCCACCAUUCCCUUCACUGUCUACCAUGAGAAGAGGGAAUGCUUCUUUCCUUGAAUCUGAACUACUUGUGACAGUUUCUGACCCAGUCAUUAAGAAGACCUAGCAGCCUAAGGUCUCAGGGAGGAGGGAGGAGGGUUCAGGAUGGGGAACACAUGUAUACCUGUGGCGGAUUCAUUUUGAUAUUUGGCAAAACUAAUACAA